rnacentral:lncRNA from 1 species
GUGUAAAGCACCUUGAAAAGACCUGCCUACCGGGAUUAGACACAGCGCUAUUUUGGGGCUCUUGUCACAUUAGUCGUCAGAUUCAUAGCGCUGCUGGGCUGGGUCACGCUGCUAGGACUCACCACUCACUUGAUCGACACAAAUAAACACCAAGAAAGAGCCUUGAAACCGGGUUAAUUAAAAACGUUUCAUAGUUCGUCUCGUCAGUAGCGUUUGUGCUUUGACGUACCUUUGGAAGUUAUCGAGUGUAAAUUCUUUGGUGUUUUCGAGACACACGACGCUUCUGAAACUUUUGCGUGCGUAAAGACGUUGGAAGACGAAAUGGGGGAGACUGAUGUUCAAAUGGAGAGUACAGAGCAAAUGCAGGAGCCUCACGCUUCAAGCUCGGACAAAAUCGACUUGUCAUUAGAUGACAUUAUAAAGCUGAAUAAGAAGGAACAGAAGGCAAACAGAGCUGCCAACAGAGCUCAAACUAAACGUGCUGUUAACAGGAACAACGUCUUGAAGAAACUCAACCAGGUUCCACAGCAACAGAGGGGACUCAGACGAGGAGCGCAGCAGUACCAAGGGCCUGGCAGGGGGAGAGGGUUAAGGAGACAAAGAGGAUCCGGGAGGGGCAUGAUGUUGAGAAGGGAUUCACUAAAUGCCGCUGCUGCCGCUGCCACGACUGGUGAACAGUUUGAUCAGACCACAUUCACAUCGAGGGGCACAUUCAGAGGACGGGGAAGAGGUAGAGGAAGAGGAGGCGGACUGAGCAGGGGUGCAUUGUCAGCAAGAGGACAAAGGGGUGGAAGACCAUUUGUAUUAGACAGAGGGGUAAGAAGGACAAUCUUUAUUAAUAAAUCAACAUUCAACAAAAAAAAAACAUUCACAUUAUACAAAACCUAUACACGGAUUGACCUUCGAAGUCGAAGAACAGCACCAUCUGGCUCCACGCUGACAGUAUCCCUGCCAAAUGCUAAAUCUGCACCUGUCGCUGUGAAGACAUCUAAUCAAACUAGGAGGGGUGGGGCAGUGUUAAGGGGCAGAUCAUCUAGAGGAGCCGGUACUUCGUCAUCUAUGGGGAUUCCUCUGCAAUUUAACUACAAAGCAACUACUAACCAGACUGCCGUAUACCUUAAUGACCGUUUCACUGACCUGAGGUUAAGAGGGCAAGAACGAGGCCGGGGAAGAGGUGGUGGAAGAGGAGCUGUUGGAGGAGGGGGAAGAGGUGGAGGAAGAGGAAACAUUGUUGGGGGUGGACGAGGUAGAGGACAAGGAAACAUAGGUGGUGGAAGAGGCAGAGGAAGAGGAAACUUUAUGGGUGGUGGAAGAGGAAGAGGAAACUUUAUGGGGGAUGGCAGAGGAAGAGGAAACAUUAUGGGGGGUGGCAGAGGAAGAGGAGGGGUUGGUGUGGCAAGAGGAGGAAGAGGCUUGAGAAGAGGGAGUGGAGGAUCAAGAGGAGCCGAUCGAACAGUAACUCUUCAGUGAUUAGAAUUACAACCAAUUUUAUGAAGUAAUAGUGUUUACUGAAAAAUUAAUUAUUUUUGGUAAAAAAAAUUUUUUUUUUGGUGCAUCACUAUUUACUGUCAUGAUGUCAUUCAACUAAAUAUUUGUAACAUUUCUGACAGCGGGAUAAGGGGGGUUUAUUGCAGUGUACAAACAAAAAAAAAGUCCUUUUUAAAAGAAUGUAAAUUAUUGAUUGUUAUAUGAUGAAGGUUUUUAAAUUUUUAGGUUAUGAAAAAAUAACAUUUUAAAAAGUACCUCAGAGGGUAAUGAAGUGCCUCUUCAAAUUCAGUGUAAAUACUGUUUUGCAUUCUGACAUUAGAAGGUAAACUCAGUGAUAAAAACUGAAUCCUAUACUUAAAAAAUGUAAAUAUAUCAAAAGUUGUUUACAUUUGAUAUCAUCAUAUCAAUAAACACCAAACAAUGGACA